UCGUAAGCAAAGUCUUUCCAUAAAUUGAAUAACGUUAUUAUUGGGGGUGGUCCGCCUACCGGUGGUUACUGCCUGUUCUGAACAGCCAGCCGGCUUCUUUUGAUGAUCUUCACCGGUUGUCUUGGGUGACCGGCAAGUUUACUUUGAAAAAUUUAGAGUGCUCAAAGCAGGCGUGACGCCUGAAUAAUGGUGCAUGGAAUAAUGGAAUAGGACCUCGGUUCUAUUUUGUUGGUUUUCGGAAUACGAGGUAAUGAUUAAGACCAACAGUCUAAGA
rnacentral:ncRNA from 1 species